AAUUGCGGCCAUACCAUCCUCAACCCGCCCGAUCUCGUCUGAUCUCGGAAACUAAGCAGGGUCGGGCCUGGUUGGUAUUGGAUGGGAGACCGCCUGGGAAUACCAGGUGCUGUAAGUG
ensembl:rRNA 5S_rRNA 5S ribosomal RNA